CGCCAAUUUUCCACCCCAAGCUGCGCACUUCUCGCGAGCUGUGCUGUAGUUUGAUGGGGUGUCUGCGAGCCUGAACACUCCUAAUGUUGACAGACGAGAAGACGAAAGAGAACUCUUUAGGAAUUCGGGCCAAAUGUCCCGCAACUUACGGAUGGUACAAAGAGGCCUUGGGACAUGAGCUCUUGGAGUUGGGCGCCCCUUGGACUGCCACUGGCGACUUCGUCCCGAAGAAGAUCACCGCUGCUGAGAUGAAGGAAGCCGUACUUUGCAACGAUUUUCUCGCACUGGGUGCCCUUCCCGCAUCCGGGACCGCCGACGACCCACAGUGUAACAGUCAUCCUUCUCGAUUUUUUGCUAACGUGUGAUUCCUGG
rnacentral:lncRNA from 1 species